GCUGGGUACAGUGGCUUGUGCCUGUAAUCCUAGCUACUUGGGAGGCUGAGGUGGGAGGAUUGUUUGAGUCCAGGAGGUCAAGGCUGCAGUGAGCCAUGAUUGCACAUCUGCACUCCAGCCUGGGUGAUAGAGCAAGACCCUGUCUCAA
ensembl:misc_RNA Metazoa_SRP Metazoan signal recognition particle RNA